UACGUAGGGGGCAAGCGUUGUUCGGAAUUACUGGGCGUAAAGGGCGCGUAGGCGGCAUGGCAAGUCAGGAGUGAAAGGCCUGGGCUCAACCGAGGAACUGCUUUUGAUACUGCCAAGCUAGAGUGCGGAAGGGGCAACUGGAAUUCCCAGUGUAGAGGUGAAAUUCGUAGAUAUUCGGAAGAACACCAGUGGCGAAGGCGGCUCACUGGUCCGGUACUGACGCUGAGGUGCGAAAGCGUGGGGAGCAAACAGG
rnacentral:rRNA from 1 species